GCCUGAUCAGCCAUGCCGCGUGUCUGAAGAAGGCCUUCGGGUUGUAAAGGACUUUUGUCAGGGAGGAAAUCCCUAAGGUUAAUACCCUUGGGGGAUGACAGUACCUGAAGAAUAAGCACCGGCUAACUACGUGCCAGCAGCCGCGGUAAUACGUAGGGUGCAAGCGUUAAUCGGAAUUACUGGGCGUAAAGCGUGCGCAGGCGGUUGUGUAAGUCUGAUGUGAAAGCCCCGGGCUCAACCUGGGAACUGCAUUGGAGACUGCACGGCUAGAGUGCGUCAGAGGGGGGUAGAAUUCCGCGUGUAGCAGUGAAAUGCGUAGAGAUGCGGAGGAAUACCGAUGGCGAAGGCAGCCCCCUGGGAUGACACUGACGCUCAUGCACGAAAGCGUGGGGAGCAAACAGGAUUAGAUACCCUGGUAGUCCACGCCCUAAACGAUGUCAACUAGCUGUUGGGGGUUUGAAUCCUUGGUAGCGUAGCUAACGCGAGAAGUUGACCGCCUGGGGAGUACGGCCGCAAGGUUAAAACUCAAAGGAAUUGACGGGGACCCGCACAAGCGGUGGAUGAUGUGGAUUAAUUCGAUGCAACGCGAAAAACCUUACCUGGUCUUGACAUGUACAGAACUUUCCAGAGAUGGA
rnacentral:rRNA from 1 species